CGCCAGGAUAUUACGAGCUCAAGCUUAAAAUCCAAAGGACUUGACGGUGUUCCACCCAUCUAGAGGAGCCUGUUCUUUAAUCGAUACUCCCCGCUUUACCUCACCAUUUCUUGCUUCUUCAGCCUGUAUACCUCCGUCGCAAACUUGCCCUAUGAAUGACACACAGCAAGUUCAAUGGCCCCCGCCAAUACGUCAGGUCAAGGUGCAGCCCAUGAAAUGGGAAGCAAUGGGCUACAAUUUCUAACUUAGAACACACGAACUAUCACUUGAAACAGUGAUCAUGAAGGUGGAUUUAGUAGUAAAGAGAAAUUAUAGCGUUCUCUUUAAUUAGGCCCUGGAACGUGUACACACCGCCCGUCAC
rnacentral:rRNA from 1 species